AUGGCCGGUACACAACCAGGGCAGGAUUCUAUGACUGCAGCAGCAAUGAUCUCCGGGUCAGUGACGGAGACGGCUGCCGAGGCAGGAGGCCCUGCGCGCCCGCCAGCUCAAGUCUUAUCCGAUCUAUUGGAUGCUCUGACAAUGUUGUUAACGGCGGGGGUUAACCCGGUGGAUCAAACUCAGCAUAACGCUGAGGUUGCAAAAUUGCGUGAUGAGAUAGGACAAGCCAAGGAGGAGCUAAACACGGAGAACACCCGGAUGGCAACGGAGCGAGCCGCCUUACUGAGGGAGGCAGAACGGCUUCAGUCAGGGAGCUUCUUCUUAAGCCUGGACCGGGAUGCAUCAAACGAUGUCUUCAAUAGAAGGCAUGUGAGCAGGCUGCCCCCGACUUACGACGCGAGGAACCUUUUCAACACGCCUGGGGCAAGAACCAGUAACCCGUCGGGUGUGGAUCGGGCCGUUGAGGUGCCAGCGGCUGGAGAACCGGUUCAACCACGUGUUACAGACCCCCCACAUUUGAAUUUGACACCUCCUCAGCAUGUUCCGACGCCUCCGGGGCAUUUUUCU
rnacentral:rRNA from 1 species